rnacentral:rRNA from 1 species
CCUACGGGGGGCUGCAGUGAGGAAUAUUGGUCAAUGGGCGGGAGCCUGAACCAGCCAAGUCGCGUGAGGGAAGACGGUCCUAUGGAUUGUAAACCUCUUUAGGCGGGGAGCAAUGCCGGGCACGUGUGCCCGGAGGGAUAGUACCCGCAGACUAAGCCUCGGCUAACUCCUUGCCAGCAGCCGCGGUAAUACGGAGAAUGCGAGCGUUCUCCGGAUUUAUUGGGUUUAAAGGGUGCGUAGGCGGAUUUUUAAGUCAGCGGUACAUUGUCCGGGCUCAACCCGGGCCGGCCGUUGAAACUGGGGAGCUUGAGUGGGCGAGAAGUAGGCGGAAUGCGUGGUGUAGCGGUGAAAUGCAUAGAUAUCACGCAGAACUCCGAUUGCGAAGGCAGCAUACCGGAGCCCGACUGACGCUGAGGCACGAAAGCGUGGGGAUCGAACAGGAUUAGAUACCCGGGUAGUC